GCGGGUAUGGCGAAAUUGGCAGACGCACCAGAUUUAGGUUCUGGCGCCGAGAGGCGUGGGGGUUCAAGUCCCUCUACCCGCA
rnacentral:tRNA from 1 species